AGAGAGAACGCAGGUGUUUUUUUUUUCGAUUUGAGCGAGAAAAAUAUAUAUUCUAACACCAUGCCUGCAACUAAACAAAAAAUGAAGAUAGCUAACAAAAAACAUCGGGACAAUGUAAACAUUAGAGGAAAUGUACCUAGAACAUUAAAAUCAUUUGAAGAACAAUAUCAAGUUGGACCAUAUUUAUUAGCUCUAUUUAUUUUUGUUGUCUGUGGUUCAGCUGUUUUCGAAAUUUUAGAACAUUUCCUGAGAUGAUAAAGAAAGAGUUGGAAUGAAAACGUAUUUUCGAAGAACUUUUUUAUCGUUAUUUUGUAAUAUACGACUGAUGAAUUAAACGUUUACAACACCGA